UACGGAGGAGCUAGCGUUAUUCGGAAUUACUGGGCGUAAAGGGCGCGUAGGCGGUCGUGACAAGUCACUUGGUGAAAAUCGUCCGGGCUUUAACUCGGAACGGUCAAGUGAGUACUGUCGGACUAGAGUACAGAAGGGGCAACUGGAAUUCUCGGUGUAGCGGUGAAAAUGCGUAGAUAUCGAGAGGAACACCUGCGGCGAAGGCGGGGAUUGCUGGGGCUGAUACUGACGUGGAGGCGCGAAAAGCUAGGGGAGCGAACGGG
rnacentral:rRNA from 1 species